rnacentral:rRNA from 1 species
GGCUUCUUGUAAUUUUGUAAGAGGUCUUGCCUGCCCGGUGAUGCAGAGUAAUUUAACGGCCGCGGUAUUUUGACCGUGCGAAGGUAGCAUAAUCAUUAGUCUUUUAAUUGGGGGCUGGUAUGAAGGGUAUGACGGAGACUGACUUUAUUUAUUUAUUUAUUGAAUUUUAUUUAACUGUGAAGAGGCAGUAGUGAUUCUAUUAGACGAGAAGACCCUAUUGAGCUUUACAUUUUUAUUUAAAAUAUGGGUAGAAAUUUAAAAUUAGGUGUUUUGUUGGGGCGACAGGUAGUUGUAUUAUAACUUAUUAUUAAAGUAGAUAUUUAUAAAUAGGAUUUAGGAUCCAUUGGUUAGUAUGAUAAAUAGAUUAAGUUACCAUAGGGAUAACAGCGUUAUUAUAAUGGAGAGUUCAUAUUGAUGUUAUAGUUUGCGACCUCGAUGUUGAAUUGGGAUUCUUAUAGGCUGUAGGAGGUUUAUAGUAAGUAGUCUGUUCGACUAUUAAAGUCCUACA